rnacentral:rRNA from 1 species
GUAGUAAAUCUAGAGCUAAUACAUGCUAAAAAUCCUGGACGCGGCAACGCGGAAGGGACGAGUUUAUUAGAUUAAAAACCGACACCUCUCCGCGAGGGGAGGUAGCACAGGUGAUUCACAGUAACCGAUCGGAUCGUCGGCCCCGCCGACGACGAUGCAUACGAGUUUCUGCCCUAUCAACUUUAGAUGGUAGAGUAUCGGUCUACCAUGGUCGUAACGGGUGACGGGGGAUUAGGGUUCGAUUCCGGAGAGGGAGCCUGAGAAACGGCUACCACUUCCAAGGAAGGCAGCAGGCGCGCAAAUUACCCAAUCCCGACACGGGGAGGUAGUGACAAGAAAUACCAUUGUAAUGUCUCCUCGAGAGGCUUACGAUUGGAAUGAGUACAAUUUAAAUCCCUUAACGAGUAACGAUUGGAGGGCAAGUCUGGUGCCAGCAGCCGCGGUAAUUCCAGCUCCAAUAGCGUAUAUUAAAGUUGUUGCAGUUAAAAAGCUCGUAGUUGGAUUUCGGAAGGUCCUUAGCAGUCCGCCCCUUCGGGGAGCGGGCUGCUGGCCUCCUAUGUUCCUAACGGUCCUCAUCCGCGAGGGUGGGGAAUCAACCGCUAGGAUCGUUUACUUUGAGGAAAUUAGAGUGUUCAAAGCAGGCGUAACUCGCCUCCGAAUACGUUAGCAUGGGAUAAUGGAAUACGACUUCGGUCUUGUUUCGUUGGUUUCGCUUGGCUGAAGUAAUGAUUGAUAGGGACAGUUGGGGGCAUUAGUAUUUAGUUGUCAGAGGUGAAAUUCUAGGAUUUACUAAAGACUGACCAAUGCGAAAGCAUUUGCCAAGGAUGUUUUCAUUAAUCAAGAACGAAAGUAGGGGGAUCGAAGACGAUCAGAUACCGUCGUAGUCUCUACCGUAAACUAUGCCGACCAGGGAUCCGGAGAGUUUGCAUGGAUGACUCCCCGGGCACCUUGUGAGAAAUCAUAAGUGUUUGGGUUUUGGGGGGAGUAUGGUCGCAAGGCUGAAACUUAAAGGAAUUGACGGAAGGGCACCACCAGGAGUGGAACCUGCGG